GAUGAACGCUGGCGGCGUGCCUAAUACAUGCAAGUCGAGCGAACGGACGAGAAGCUUGCUUUUCUGAUGUUAGCGGCGGACGGGUGAGUAACACGUGGAUAACCUACCUAUAAGACUGGGAUAACUUCGGGAAACCGGAGCUAAUACCGGAUAAUAUUUUGAACCGCAUGGUUCAAAAGUGAAAGACGGUCUUGCUGUCACUUAUAGAUGGAUCAGAGCUGCAUUAGCUAGUUGGUAAGGUAACGGCUUACCAAGGCAACGAUGCAUAGCCGACCUGAGAGGGUGAUCGGCCACACGGGAACUGAGACACGGUCCAGACUACUACGGGAGGCAGCAGUAGGGAAUCUUCCGCGAUGGGCGAAAGACUGACGGAGCAACGCCGCGUGAGUGAUGAAGGUCUUCGGAUCGUAAAACUCUGUUAUUAGGGAAGAACAUAUGUGUAAGUAACUGUGCACAUCUUGACGGUACCUAAUCAGAAAGCCACGGCUAACUACGUG
rnacentral:rRNA from 1 species